rnacentral:ncRNA from 1 species
AUAACAGUGUAAUCCUAUUCUAGAGUCCAUAUUGACAAUAGGAUUUACACUUUGAUGUUGAAUCAGAACAUCCCUUUGAUGUAAACAUUGUUAAUUGUUCAUUUGUUUAACAAUUAAAGUCCUUUGUGAUAUGCAUUCAGAUAGGAGCAAUCCAGGUC